GCGGCCGUAGCUCAGGGGAUAGAGCAGCCGUCUCCUAUACGGCAGGCCCCCCGUUCGAAUCGGGGCGGCCGCACCA
rnacentral:tRNA from 1 species